rnacentral:misc_RNA from 1 species
AGUAAAAUAGUACGUGAAAUUGUUGAAAGGGAAACGAUUGAAGUCAGUCGUACCGACGAGAAAUCAGCUCUUCGAGUGCGAACUUGUGGGCGUGCGUGAGUCUUUAACGGGCCUCGCUGUUUGCAAUUUUGUGCUUUUUGGGUGUACUUUUUCGUAUGGUAGGCCAACGUCAGUUUCGAUCACCGUAAAAUGAUCGGAGGAAUGUAGCUUCGAUCUCGUAUUGAAGUGUUAUAGCCUCUGGUAGAUGCGGUGACCGAAACUGAGGAUUGCAACGAAUACCCUUUUGGGCUAUCCGUCUGGCCUCUGAAAGUUGCUUAGGUGCCGAAAGCGUGCUUACGGCUAUUUAAGUUGACGGUCAACAGGUUAGAACGUGAUUACAUUCGUUAAGGACGUUGGCGUAAUGGCUUUAAA